AGGCUUUUUUUUGGUGCCCUGCCUUUAGCGGGUUUAAAAUUGAGAAAAUGCUCUGCUUCGCCUCAAAAUGUUCAGCCAGUGCUGUGCUGCUCUACGGGCGAGGUGUUAUUAUAUAGUAAAUCGUCUAAACCUUAAGUACAGUCAGCUAAUUGAAGGCAUCAUUCCAAAAGCGAAACUUGAUGUAAGCUACUGCAAAAGUUCUGGUCCUGGAGGACAGCACGUAAAUAAAGUGAAUUCCAAAGUUCAAAUUCGCUUUGAUUUGAAAAAUGCCGAUUGGCUGGAUGAGUAUACCAAAAAUAGAAUUUUCCAAAUGGAAAAGUCUAGGAUAAAUAAAGAAGGAUUUUUUUUCAUUUACUCACAAGAAACCAGGUGUGCUAGUGAAAACUACGAUAACGCCAUAGCUAAAAUUUUACAAAUCGUUAAAAAGGCAGCUGAAAGACCUAAAGAAACUAGCGAGGAAAAAAAGAAAAUUAUAAGGAUGCACCAAAAAAAAUUUGAUGAGAAAAGAUUAGAAGAAAAAAGACGCAGAAAACCUAAAUUUAAACGAAAUGACGACUGGUGCUAACUAAUUACAAAGUGGGAGGCUACUUAGAGAAAUUUAACUAACUGACUCGCAUUAUGAUUAUAAACCAACUUGAACUCGACAAUAAAGAUAUGUA